ACACACACACACACACACACACACACACACACACACGGACAUAUAGAUAAACAGAAGCCAUGAGCAGAAAUGAGAGAGUGUUUGUCAAAACUGUAAAAGCUUUUUAAUUUUGUUUACAAUAAAAAACAUGCACACAAAUUGUUGAGGAAAAUGUUGAACAAAUAGAUAAUGUCUAAGUCACUAAAGAUGCUGCUGUGUGUGUAUAUGUGUGUGUGUGUGUGUGUGUGUGUGUGUGUGUGUGUGUGUGUGUGUGUGUGUGUGUGUGUGUGUGUGUGUGUGUGUGUGAGACA